UGGGGUUUCAAAGAUCAGAGAGAACUACAAUCCUGCAACAUGGAUGUUAGAGGUUACCUCUCCACCAUCAGAAGCUGAACUUGGCAUAGAUUUUGCUCAAGUAUAUAGGAAUUCUGCUCUAUAUGAGAAUAACAAAGAACUUGUGAAGCAGUUGAGUAUUCCACCUCCUGGUUCGAGAGAUUUGCAUUUCUCAAACAUCUUUUCGCAAAGUUUCAUGGGACAGUUCAAGGCYUGCCUUUGGAAGCAAAACUUGUCGUAUUGGCGAAGUCCUUCUUAUAACAUGAUGCGUUUCAUACAUACAGUUGUAUCAUCUUUGAUUUUUGGGAUAGUAUUCUGGAACAAGGGAAAGGAGCUAGAGAACCAGCAGAACUUAUUCAAUAUUUUCGGUUCAAUGUAAACUGCUGUAAUUUUCCUUGGCAUCGACAACUGCUCAUUGGUCCUUCCUUAUAUAUCAAUGGAGAGAACUGUGAUGUACAGAGAACGGUUUGCUGGGAUGUACUCUUCAUGGGCUUAUUCACUUGCACAGGUAACUGUUGAGGUUCCAUACCUGUUUGUACAAGUAGCUGCCUAUCUGAUUAUCACUUACCCAAUGAUUGGAUACUAUGGAUCARCAUCCAAAGUAUUUUGGUGUUUCUACUCAAUGUUCUGUGCACUUCUCUACUUCAAUUAUCUUGGGUUUCUGCUUGUCUCCAUCACACCAAACUUUUACAUCGCUAACAUUUUGUCCUCUGCCUUCUACACCAUCCUC